CAAAUCAGGUAGGACUACCCGCUGAACUUAAGCAUAUCAAUAAGCGGAGGAAAAGAAACUAACAAGGAUUCCCCUAGUAACUGCGAGUGAAGCGGGAAAAGCUCAAAUUUAAAAUCUGGCAGUCUUUGAUUGUCCGAGUUGUAAUCUAGAGAAGCAUUAUCCGCGCUGGACCGUGUACAAGUCUCCUGGAAUGGAGCGUCAUAGAGGGUGAGAAUCCCGUCUUUGACACGGACUGCCAGGGCUUUGUGAUGUGCUCUCAAAGAGUCGAGUUGUUUGGGAAUGCAGCUCAAAAUGGGUGGUAAAUUCCAUCUAAAGCUAAAUAUUGGCGAGAGACCGAUAGCGAACAAGUACCGUGAGGGAAAGAUGAAAAGAACUUUGGAAAGAGAGUUAAACAGUACGUGAAAUUGCUGAAAGGGAAACGCUUGAAGUCAGUCGCGUUGGCCGGGAAUCAACCUUGCUUUUGCUGGGCGUACUUCCUGGUUAACGGGUCAGCAUCAAUUUUGACCGUUGGAUAAAGUUGUAGGGAAUGUGGCAUCUUCGGAUGUGUUAUAGCCCUGCUUCGCAUACAACGAUUGGGAUUGAGGAACUCAGCACGCCGCAAGGCCGGGUUUUUAACCACGUUCGUGCUUAGGAUGCUGGCAUAAUGGCUUUAAUCGACCCGUCUUGAAAC
rnacentral:rRNA from 1 species